UAGUGUCACACAGGACUGCUGGUAUUAAGCCGGAGGAAGGUGGGACGACGUCAAGUCAGCAUGACCUUUAUAUCCAGGGCUACACACACGCUACAAUGGUCAGUACAAUGGGUUGCCAAGCCGCGAGGCGGAGCCAAUCCUAAAAAGCUGGCCUCAGUUCAGAUUGCAGUCUGAAACUCGACUGCAUGAAGUCGGAGUUGCUAGUAAACGCAGGUCAGCUAUACUGCGUUGAAUACGUUCCCGGGGCUU
rnacentral:rRNA from 1 species